UACGUAGGUGGCAAGCGUUGUCCGGAUUUAUUGGGGUUUAAAAGGGUGCGUAGGCGGCCCUGUAAGUCAGUGCUGAAAUAUCCCAGCUUAACUGGGAGGGUGGCAUUGAUACUGCGGGGCUAGAGUACAGAUGAGGUAGGCGGAAUUGACGGUGUAGCGGUGAAAUGCUUAGAUAUCGUCAAGAACACCUAUAGCGAAGGCAGCUUACUAGGCUGUAACUGACGCUGAGGCACGAAAGUGUGGGGAUCAAACAGG
rnacentral:rRNA from 1 species